rnacentral:rRNA from 1 species
UGGCGGCGUGCCUAAUACAUGCAAGUCGAACGCAUUGUGGUUGAAAUGAUAUGAAGAACUUGUUCAGAUUUGAUUUUCAACAUUGCAAUGAGUGGCGAACGGGUGAGUAACACGUGGGAAACCUACCUCUUAGCAGGGGAUAACAUUUGGAAACAAAUGCUAAUACCGUAUAAUAAUUAAAACCGCAUGGUUUUAGUUUAAAAGAUGGUCUUGCUAUCACUAAGAGAUGGUCCCGCGGUGUAUUAGUUAGUUGGUGAGGUAAUGGCUCACCAAGACAAUGAUACAUAGCCGAGUUGAGAGACUGACCGGCCACAAUGGGACUGAGACACGGCCCAUACUCCUACGGGAGGCAGCAGUAGGGAAUCUUCCACAAUGGACGAAAGUCUGAUGGAGCAACGCCGCGUGUGUGAUGAAGGGUUUCGGCUCGUAAAACACUGUUGUAAGAGAAGAAUGACAUUGAGAGUAACUGUUCAAUGUGUGACGGUAUCUUACCAGAAAGGAACGGCUAAAUACGUGCCAGCAGCCGCGGUAAUACGUAUGUUCCAAGCGUUAUCCGGAUUUAUUGGGCGUAAAGCGAGCGCAGACGGUUAUUUAAGUCUGAAGUGAAAGCCCUCGGCUCAACCGAGGAAUUGCUUUGGAAACUGGAUAACUUGAGUGCAGUAGAGGAAAGUGGAACUCCAUGUGUAGCGGUGAAAUGCGUAGAUAUAUGGAAGAACACCAGUGGCGAAGGCGGCUUUCUGGACUGUAACUGACGUUGAGGCUCGAAAGUGUGGGUAGCAAACAGGAUUAGAUACCCUGGUAGUCCACACUGUAAACGAUGAGUGCUAGUUGUUCGAG